rnacentral:lncRNA from 1 species
AAAGCGCCGGAGGAUUGGCUGGGGCGUCGGGAGAGAGGAGGCUCGAAACUACAUUUCCCAUGACGCAGUGAGAAUUUAAAACCAAAACAAUUGGACAGCACUUGUUUUGACAACUGUGCGGCACUGUGCCACGGGACCCUGGUCUUUGAAACCUUGGCGUGCGCGAGAAUUUCCCAGUGAGUUUGUUAAAAUGCAGAUUCCUCGGGUCUGCGUAGACAGACUGUGCCCCACGCUUUUCUAAGUCAGUUGUUUCUCGGGCUACCCUUUAAGAGACACUGCUGGAUGGCCUGGUGAAGAAAAUACAGAAACAGAUGGGUACAAGAACUAAGAAAACGGCUAAGAAAGUGUUUUGGUCCUGACUACUACCAUUUCGCUCUGUGAUUUGGGGCAAUUCACAUUGCCCUUUCUUCUUUGUCAAAAGACAAAAUCACAACAAACUUAGUUCAAAGAUUUUUUUUUUCUUAAGAGACGGACUCUGGCAAUGUUGCCCAGGCUGGAAGGCAGUGGCUAUUCACAGGUGCGGUCAUAGCAAUCAUGGCUAUCACAGGUGCAUCCUGGAACUCCUGGCCUCAAGUGAUCCUUCUGCCUCAGCCUCCGGAGUAGCUGGGACUUAAGGUAUGACAGAGCCAAAACUCCAAGUCAUGUCAGUAGGGCAUGCCCAAUAGAAAAUGCUUUGACAUCUAACAACACCCAGAACCAAUGAUUCCUCCCUGUGGUACCAAGAAGACCUAGACAUGAUCGGAACCUAAAUGCUGGAACUCUUUCAGGAGCAAAGGGUCUGUUGACCAGAAAGAUCCAGGGGUAAAAUCCACCUCAACAUACCCGUGUAGUCAAAUUUGACACCCUCCAAUCAGACCCUGCCAAGCCAAAAUUCCUAAUACGUUUCCUUGCCAUCUGUAUUAGUCUGUUUUCACGCUGCUGACAAAGACAUACCUGAGACUGGACAAUUUACAAAAGAGGUUUAAUUGGACUUACAGUUCCACGUGGCUGGGGAAACCUCACAAUCAUGGCAGAAGGCAAGGAGGAGCAAGUCACAUCUUACAUGGAUGGCAGCAGGCAAAAACAAAGAGCUUGUACAGGGAAACUCCUGUUUCUCAAAACCAUCAGACCUCAUGAGACUUAUUCACUAUCACAAGAACAGCACAAGAAAGACCUGCCCCUAUGAUUCAAUUAUCUCCCACUGGGUCCCUCCCACAACAUGUGAGAAUUCAAGAUGAGAUUUGGGUGGGGACACAGCCAAACCAUAUCACCCUCUGACCCCUUAAAUCUUGCCCCAGACCCCAAAUUAGGAGACAGAUGUGAGCCAUGCCUCCAGUCUCCUUGCUGGGUGGCCCUGCAAUAAAGCCUUUCUGUUCUCAAAAGCUGGUACCAUAGUAUUGGCUUCUAUGUGCAUCAGGCAGUGAGCCUAUUUGCUCAGAAACAAUACUAAAGCACCAUACUUUGGGGUAUCAUUCUCUGAGCCCCAACCAGGGGUCAUUCCUGAGGCCAUGAAUGAGGGAGAGAGUUUCUGGCUGAGGAAACUUGCCCGUAAGUCUUGCACCAUCUGGCCCAUGCUGACCAUCACAGUCUCACUUUAUCUUCUUUCCAGCCACAUUGGCCUUUCAGUUCCUCAAACAUACCCGCGCUGGCUGGUUUCAGAACUUCUGCCUGGAUCACUGUCCUCUCCCCCCUCCCUCUUCCCCCUCCUGUCUCAAACCCUCCAAUGUAAACUUCAGUCUCACCUUAAAUGUCACUUCCUCUGGAGCCCUUUUCAUGGUCCCUGGUUUAAAUUUAGUCCAUACAGCAAACUGUGAUUGUCCUCCAAACCACUUCAAAGAACUGUAAUCAUUUAAUUAUCUAUUUAUAAGUAUCUGAUGUCUGGGUUCUUCACUAGACUGUAAACUUCAUGAUGGCAGGAACCAUAAUUGUUCUGGUUACUCUUGCUCUCAAGAGUGUAAGAGUGCCACAUUGUGCCUGGCACAUAGCAGGAACUUUAUGAUGAUUGUUGGUUGGAAGACAGGUUGCCUGACAGGCCAGUCAUCUCAACUACUGUACUUGGAUGUGUGGUUGGAAAUAAAAUGGAUCCGUUUAGGAGAGG